GAUGAACGCUGGCGGCGUGCCUAAUACAUGCAAGUCGAGCGAACGGACGAGAAGCUUGCUUCUCUGAUGUUAGCGGCGGACGGGUGAGUAACACGUGGAUAACCUACCUAUAAGACUGGGAUAACUUCGGGAAACCGGAGCUAAUACCGGAUAAUAUUUUGAACCGCAUGGUUCAAAAGUGAAAGACGGUCUUGCUGUCACUUAUAGAUGGAUCCGCGCUGCAUUAGCUAGUUGGUAAGGUAACGGCUUACCAAGGCAACGAUGCAUAGCCGACCUGAGAGGGUGAUCGGCCACACUGGAACUGAGACACGGUCCAGACUCCUACGGGAGGCAGCAGUAGGGAAUCUUCCGCAAUGGGCGAAAGCCUGACGGAGCAACGCCGCGUGAGUGAUGAAGGUCUUCGGAUCGUAAAACUCUGUUAUUAGGGAAGAACAUAUGUGUAAGUAACUGUGCACAUCUUGACGGUACCUAAUCAGAAAGCCACGGCUAACUACGUGCCAGCAGCCCCGGUUAUACGUAGGUGGCAAGCGUUAUCCGGAAUUAUGGGCGUAAAGCCGCGCGUAGGCGGUUUUUUAAGUCUGAUGUGAAGCCCCACGGCUCAACCGUGGAGGGUCAUUGGAAACUGGAAAACUUGAGUGCAGAAGAGGAAAGUGGAAUUCCAUGUGUAGCGGUGAAAUGCGCAGAGAUAUGGAGGAACACCAGUGGCGAAGGCGACUUUCUGGUCUGUAACUGACGCUGAUGUGCGAAAGCGUGGGGAUCAAACAGGAUUAGAUACCCUGGUAGUCCACGCCGUAAACGAUGAGUGCUAAGUGUUAGGGGGGUUCCGCCCCUUAGUGCUGCAGCUAACGCAUUAAGCACUCCGCCUGGGGAGUACGACCGCAAGGUUGAAACUCAAAGGAAUUGACGGGGACCCGCACAAGCGGUGGAGCAUGUGGUUUAAUUCGAAGCAACGCGAAGAACCUUACCAAAUCUUGACAUCCUUUGACAACUCUAGAGAUAGAGCCUUCCCCUUCGGGGGACAAAGUGACAGGUGGUGCAUGGUUGUCGUCAGCUCGUGUCGUGAGAUGUUGGGUUAAGUCCCGCAACGAGCGCAACCCUUAAGCUUAGUUGCCAUCAUUAAGUUGGGCACUCUAAGUUGACUGCCGGUGACAAACCGGAGGAAGGUGGGGAUGACGUCAAAUCAUCAUGCCCCUUAUGAUUUGGGCUACACACGUGCUACAAUGGACAAUACAAAGGGCAGCGAAACCGCGAGGUCAAGCAAAUCCCAUAAAGUUGUUCUCAGUUCGGAUUGUAGUCUGCAACUCGACUACAUGAAGCUGGAAUCGCUAGUAAUCGUAGAUCAGCAUGCUACGGUGAAUACGUUCCCGGGUCU
rnacentral:rRNA from 1 species